UGGGGAAUAUUGGACAAUGGGCGCAAGCCUGAUCCAGCCAUGCCGCGUGUGUGAAGAAGGCCUUAUGGUUGUAAAGCACUUUAAGCGAGGAGGAGGGUACUGGUAUUAAUACUACCAGGUACUGGACGUUACUCGCAGAAUAAGCACCGGCUAACUCUGUGCCAGCAGCCGCGGUAAUACAGAGGGUGCAAGCGUUAAUCGGAUUUACUGGGCGUAAAGCGCGCGUAGGCGGCUAAUUAAGUCAAAUGUGAAAUCCCCGAGCUUAACUUGGGAAUUGCAUUCGAUACUGGUUAGCUAGAGUGUGGGAGAGGAUGGUAGAAUUCCAGGUGUAGCGGUGAAAUGCGUAGAGAUCUGGAGGAAUACCGAUGGCGAAGGCAGCCAUCUGGCCUAACACUGACGCUGAGGUGCGAAAGCAUGGGGAGCAAACAGG
rnacentral:rRNA from 1 species